rnacentral:rRNA from 1 species
CCCAGACUCCUACGGGAGGCAGCAGUGGGGAAUAUUGCACAAUGGGGGGAACCCUGAUGCAGCGACGCCGCGUGAGUGAAGAAGUAUUUCGGUAUGUAAAGCCCUAUCAGCAGGGAAGAAAAUGACGGUACCUGACUAAGAAGCCCCGGCUAACUACGUGCCAGCAGCCGCGGUAAUACGUAGGGGGCAAGCGUUAUCCGGAUUUACUGGGUGUAAAGGGAGCGUAGACGGCAGUGCAAGUCCGGAGUGAAAGCCCGGGGCUCAACCCUGGGACUGCUCUGGAAACUGUAAAGCUGGAGUGCGGGAGGGGCAGGCGGAAUUCCUGGUGUAGCGGUGAAAUGCGUAGAUAUCAGGAGGAACACCAUUGGCGAAGGCGGUCUGCUGGACAGCAACUGACGGUGAGGCGCGAAAGCGUGGGGAGCAAACAGGAUUAGAUACCCCAGUA